rnacentral:miRNA from 1 species
GUAAUGCGUUUCUGUUAUUUGU